UUGAUUUACGUAUAAUAUUAUUUUAUGGAAGAUUGUGUGGUUGAAAAUAGGAGAGAGAAAAAUAGAAUGUAAUGUAAUGUAAUUUAAUGAAAAUCAAACAAGGGCUUGAGGAUACCACGUUUGAGUUGAAUUUUCCCCACGUCACUGGCAAGUUAGAAUCGAAAUUAUUAACAUCGGGCCCAUAAUUUUCAUUGAUGUUCCCCAGUCAACGAUCAACUUGCUCCACCGAUGUCAUAAAACCGUCUUCCACGUCUGCCUCAGUGCACAAGAAACCGAUAAGGAUGAUUCUGCACCAUGUAUUUCCUUCUCCAUCAAAGUUCACCAGGAAUUGAAACUGUUUGCUCUUGGCCUACCACCACUAGACAUAACCUAUACAGGGAUGGACUGUGCAAUAUGUUGUCCAGUACCAAGACUGCCCUGAUCUUUUGAAAGAUAAAACUACUUGAGCAGACCCAUCCAGCUCUUGUGCCAAAACCGCCAUAUCGAAAAAUGAAUCCAAACAAUCAAACGCUAAUUCAAUCUCUGAUCUAAAACGUGUAUUCUACUUAAAAAAGGCCAUAGGACAAUUCUAAACAAAAUAUGAGUCUUUCAACCAAAUGAGAGAUAAUAUUCUUUAAAAAGUCAAUAAUGAUAAAUUCACGAUCAUAUGACCAACCUUAAUUUCACCUGUACAUCCAAUUGAUAUAAGAAUUUUUCGAAUCUUUAACAAUGGUGGCGUACCAUGUGAGAGUGAAGUGACGCAAAAGGAUUAUUUCCAAGACCUUUUGGCAUUUGAAGGUAAAAAAGCUUGUUCAUGGUGGUGAUGUAUGGUGAUGACUAAUGAGUGGGUGGGCUGGUGUGAUUUCAAUGAAUCUCAAGGUUUAGAGGGUGGUGGCUAUGGAUUUCUUCAUUGUCACCAAUGAAUUAGUAGUGACAAAAAAUUUCAGAGGCCAUUCAUCAAUAAACGGAUCCACCGUAGGGCUUGUUUCACCCACUUGACCACCAACACUUGCCAUAGAGGAAAUAACUGUAGUGCUUUAUGCAAUGGGGUACCAUGAAUCUAACAUCACCAAAACGACCCUGAUACGAGAAAGCCAUUUCGAGUGCGGUAGAUCAUAAUGGUGCUCCACAAACACAAUCACAAUAAUUGCCAACACAGUGAAAUGAAAGCACAUAAAACAUAUCAAUUUCUUGGUUCAAGCCCAAAAUGGAACAUCAACCAAAAGCCCAUCAAAUAGUAAGACCAAGUGAAUUAACGUUUCAAGACUCAGAUUCAUAUCAGAUGCAUAUCAAUUCUCACAUAAUUUCACUUUAUUACUUUAGUCAUCAACCAAACAAAACAAAACAAAACAAAAAAUACAACAGCACUCUUCAGCUCCGAAUUAAAAAAAGAAAAGAAAAAAAUUACUUCAUACACUGAAUUUAUCAAUACCAGCAUCAUAACUUGAAAACCACGAUGAAAAUUCACAAUAACAAAACCAAAUAUACAGAAACUUAUGCACAACUGAUGACUUAGCUUAAAUAAUUCAUAAUGUAAUAUCAAUUACCAUCGUCUUCCCUUGGUUGUUCGGAAGAUUGAUGCGCCUGACCGGAUAGUGAUGCAAGCAAAUUGAGAUGGUGCCCCUGUACUUGAGCUAUGGGUAAAUAAUUACCAAUCCUUGCAGCUGAUGCCUCUCCCAUUCCCAGUGGUUGUUGCUGCUGCAGAAACCUAAAGGAAGAAGAAGGCUGCUGCUGGGCAAUGCUCCAAACUUGCCCAAAAUCCGGCCUAGUCGGCAAAGCCCAGAACCCUCCAGGAGCCACCGAGGAACCCAUGUCUUCUUUGCUGAGAUGAUGGUGGUGAUCAUCGUCGUCCGGUCGGAGCCGCUUCCCGAGAAUGAAGUUGGUUGGAGAAAGCUGAGAAUGAGGGACGGAGGAGUUCCGGGUGGAGGUGCAGACGGUGGCGAAACUAGCAGGGGUGGUGCCGCUGCCGGUGGCAGCUAUAAUUGAAGGCUCCGCGUGACGGAGAAGCCACUCGAUAGUCUGUCCAUCGGACUUGUGGCCGAGCUCACGGGUGAGCUGGAAAACCCUGGCGGCGCAGAUUAUAGGCAUGCGAAUGCGGCGGCCUCGGCCGUCGACCUUGCUGUGGCGGUCCUUGGCCGGAGGCUUCUUCACUUGCAAACCACCGUUGGUUGUGGUGGACAGCGUCUGUUUCUGAGAAGGAUCAAUAAUGUCAAGUCCACUACCAUUACAGUCAGCUGCCGACAUUGACAUAGUAGUCUAUAGUACGAAUCUAUUCAAUUUCUGGUAUAAAAUAGAGAUGAGUAGGGUUUUGGGGAAUGUAAAUAAAUGGAAAUUGAAAUGGAAUUAGGGUUUUUGUUCAGGGUUGAGACGGAGAGAGUAAUGAUUGAGGGAGGGAAGCGGCAGGAACUGGUGGAGACAGGGGAGGAGCACAUGGGUGGUGGGGUCUAUUCUCUUAGUAGUAAGUAAGUACUUUCAAUUCCCAGCUCACUCGUGUCCUCAAGGUGUCGGUGUUGCUGACGAUAAAAUGCCCGAUUAAAAAUUUAAGCUAUUUAAAAAAACGACGAGCAUCAUUUAUGAGUAAUGCCAUUUAACAUUGGUAAUUCCUGACGUAAUCCUAAGAGCAUCCUCGUAUAAGAUAAAAAUUUAGAUUUAUAAACCUCCGGGGUCCUAUCCGCACGUCGUAAAGGGAGGUCUACAGGGAAGAGAAUCGCAUCCCGAAUAUUCGACCUAAAUAUAUAUAAGUUGUGACCGCCUCCGAAUUUAUUUGGAUGACAAACUAGAGUGGAAAAUCGUCACUCUUCAGAAUUAGUCAAGCAUGAUUUGGACACCUGAGUUAUCAAAUAAUAAAUUAGAUCUAUAAAGUGAUGAAANGGCAGGAACUGGUGGAGACAGGGGAGGAGCACAUGGGUGGUGGGGUCUAUUCUCUUAGUAGUAAGUAAGUACUUUCAAUUCCCAGCUCACUUGUGUCCGCA
rnacentral:lncRNA from 1 species